rnacentral:tRNA from 1 species
AUUUUCUUAUUAUAUAAAGUAUAUUUGGCUUCCAACCAAAAGGUUUAGUUUCUUCUAAAGAAAAUA